rnacentral:rRNA from 1 species
GAUGAACGCUGGCGGUAUGCUUAACACAUGCAAGUCGAACGGACUCUUCGGAGUUAGUGGCGGACGGGUGAGUAACGCGUGAGAAUCUGGCUUUGGGUUCGGGACAACUACUGGAAACGGUGGCUAAUACCGGAUGUGCCGAGAGGUAAAAGAGAAAUUUCCUGAAGAUGAGCUCGCGUCUGAUUAGCUAGUUGGUGAGGUAAAGGCUCACCAAGGCAGCGAUGAGUAUCUGGUCUGAGAGGAUGACCGGCCACACUGGGACUGAGAGGCGGCCCAGACGCCUACGGGGGGAAGCGGUGGGGAAUUUUCCGGAAUGGGCGAAAGCCUGACGAAGCAAUACCGCGUGAGGGAAGAAGGCUCUUGGGUUGUAAACCUCUUUUCUUAGGGAAGAACAAAAUGACGGUACCUAAGUAAUCAGCCUCGGCUAACUCCGUG